AUUUAAGUGAGCUAAACAAAUUUCUUUCCCAUCCCUGCAGCUCAGGAAUCCAGCUUGAGGCCUCUCCACAGCAGCUAUGAAAAAGUUGUAGGUACAGACAAUAUAUAUGAAGCGUUGGCAUGUGCAGUGAGAAUCAAUUCAGAAGCUAUCCUACAGAUGCCAAAUAAUUCUGUUGGAACUAAGCCAUGGAAUGAUGUAGGAGAAGAGACAGCUGUUCAAUGCUGAUCUCCCAAUAUUUUAAAAUAUUUAAAAUAUUUUUUGGAAGUCCAUGUCAAAAAUAGCUUAAGCCAGCCAUAGCUUCUGACAGUGAAAAAAUAAUGUCUAAGCACUUUUCAUGAAUCAAAAGGAACUGGCAGUAUCCUGAUCUACUAAAUACAUUUGAGCUACCCUCUGAGGCCGUGCCAAAUGCCUGUUGUUCUUCCCUAAGGACCCCUUCUGCUUGCAGCCUCUGAAUCAAAAAAGAAAACCACUUCCUGCCUCUUUAAUGUUCAGCCUAACAAGCUAAGGUAAGUGUGUUUGGCAGAUUCUGCUGCAGAUGUUGAACAGAAAUGGGGCCAGUGGGUCUUAUUCCAAAACAUAGAUACAGUUACUAGAAAGUACAAAUGUGAGCUAUUCUUUCUGUCCUGCUCCUGAUUAUUGCAGAAUUCCAGUCUGAACAUAGAAAAUGGGAACUGCAAUUGGGAACUGGACAUGAAAGGGGACAAAAUACACAAUGUGUCUCUGCAUGAAUGCCUGGGUGCUGAUGAAUUCUAAUCAAUGCCAACAUCACAUUGCCUCAGUUGCAGGAUACCCAAGAAUGAAACUUGGGCCUCCUUUUCCAAAUUCCAUCCAGUUCAGAAAAUACCAGUAAAUAAUGCCAUUUAAGCAACCUGAAACCUUGGCUUUAUUUUGGGGUUUCACUGACUAAUCUAGCAUAGGAAUUUCAUGGAAAUUCUCUAAUUGUCCAAAGUGCAGAAUUGCCCAAAGAUUCAUAUAGCACUUAAUAAAUUAAUUGUUGAAACUUGUUCAUGUUCAUCCUUUGUUAUCUGUCUCUUUGAUUUUCCGUCUCUUGUCACUAUUGGGGUUUUCAGUUUUCUUCCACUUCUUCCCUUCAAAUUCCUUCUCUUUCAAACAGGCUGGCAUCAAAGUCAUGUGUGGCCAAGGCCUACCUCUACCACACAGGGGCAUAAGCAUGGAGUGGCAGCAGAUCUCCAGCUCUCUCUGGGACCUUCUAGUAGAGGCAGUCCCCCCAGGAUGACAGUUCUUCCCUGAUGAAUAGUCUGCCUUGGUUUCUUGGCUGAACUCCCUCCAGAAUCCGUGACUACGAGAGACUGAAAGUGCCUGCUAUGUGC
rnacentral:lncRNA from 1 species